AAAUAGAUACCCUGGUAGUCCACGCCGUAAACGAUGAGUGCUAAGUGUUGGAGGGUUUCCGCCCUUUAGUGCUGCAGCUAACGCAUUAAGCACUCCGCCUGGGGAGUACGGCCGCAAGGCUGAAACUCAAAGGAAUUGACGGGGGCCCGCACAAGCGGUGGAGCAUGUGGUUUAAUUCGAAGCAACGCGAAGAACCUUACCAGGUCUUGACAUCCUCUGACAACCCUAGAGAUAGGGCUUUCCCCUUCGGGGGACAGAGUGACAGGUGGUGCAUGGUUGUCGUCAGCUCGUGUCGUGAGAUGUUGGGUUAAGUCCCGCAACGAGCGCAACCCUUGAUCUUAGUUGCCAGCAUUCAGUUGGGCACUCUAAGGUGACUGCCGGUGACAAACCGGAGGAAGGUGGGGAUGACGUCAAAUCAUCAUGCCCCUUAUGACCUGGGCUACACACGUGCUACAAUGGAUGGUACAAAGGGCUGCAAACCUGCGAAGGUAAGCGAAUCCCAUAAAGCCAUUCUCAGUUCGGAUUGC
rnacentral:rRNA from 1 species